GAAGCUGUGAGCAGUGAGCCACAAUACUAAUUGCCUCGAAACAAAGAAAAAAUACUCUCUCUCUCUCUCUAAAUAGAAAAUCCCAGCAACUCUCUUCGUUCAUCUUUUUCCGAGGUUCGUGUACGGCGUACCUUCUUCGUCUUCUGUUUCAUUUCCUCACUUUUUCUAUGUAAAUCCAGAUAGACUAUAAAUUCAUCUGAAUCAGAAUUGUUGAGAGGCGUAAGGAUUUUUGUGAGUGUGCACGACGAGCGCAUCAGAGCUUUUCUAUAACCGCAGGUCUCGCUACAACAGCUGAGCCACCCACCACGAUCUCGGCUUCGACCCCCUCUGUCCGCUUGAUCGGAUUUACAAUCAUCGCCACCAUGAUCGUAAUGAAUUUGACGGCUGCGAACUCCCCCGCUUCCCAUUGCUGUGCCACCUCUGCCACUACGUCUGUCUCACGGAGAUGGGUGUUGGGUGGGCUAGGCAGAGGCACACAGCUAGCACCAUAGGCAUCAUUCUCAAGCGUGUGACCUUCAUGUCACCUGCUUCAAAAUCGAUCUGAAGUUGAAUACAAAUGGUGCAUAUAUGAAGCUUUUAGUCAAAUGGACAGCCCAUAGCAGAAUCUUUCACAGGUUGGGGAAUCUUGGUUUUUCCUAUGUAUUGAUCCCAAAAUGAGUGGAGACCUAGUAGCUGCUGGGUUGUCAAGCAAUCAGGCUAGGAUUGGAAACAAAUCACAAGUCUAUACUCAACAUGCUUAUAUGAGACCGCUGGGAGUAGUAUCAGGUUUCUACUAUGUUAUUUUUUCUUGAAGUUGCUAUGGUGUUGGGUGUUGAUGAAGAGACCGGACCUCAACUCUAUAAGUGUGAGCCAGCUGGUCAUUACUUUGGUCAUAAGGGAAUUUCUGUCACUGCAAUGGGAACAUAACCUGAAGGAUUCAUGGUGGUCCAGAAUGAGGAGAUCAAAUCACCUUUAAAUUCACUCCCAGAUAAGUGGCGAAGUGACUCAACAUCAAAAGUUUUGGAUCUGCUUUAGAGAAGUGACAUAGUAGUUUUAUUUUUUAUUUUAGGGUCCUUAACCCAAAGCACCAAAAUAACAAAAAAUUAUCCCACUUACCUCAGCAACAGAUUUUUAUUUCCACUAACCCAAUUUACAGUAAAAUGACUAUUCUGC